rnacentral:rRNA from 1 species
AAUGAACGCUGGCGGCAGGCCUAACACAUGCAAGUCGAACGAGUGGCGGACGGGUGAGUAAUGGCUGGGAAACUGCCUGAUGGAGAGGGAUAACCACUUGAAACGGUAGCUUAUACCGCAUACCAUCGGAUGUGCCCAGCUGGGAUUAGCUAGUAGGUGGGGUAAAGGCUCACCUAGUCGACGAUCCCUAGCUGGUCGGAGAGGAUGACCGGCCAAACUGGAACUGAGACACGGUCCAGACUCCUACGGGGGGAAGCAGUGGGGAAUAUUGCACAAUGGGGGCAAGCCUGAUGCAGCCAUGCCGCGUGUAUGAAGAAGGCCUUCGGGUUGUAAAGUACUUUCAGCGGGGAGGCGUUACCCGCAGAAGAAGCACCGGCUAACUCCGUGCCAGCAGCCGCGGUAAUAC